rnacentral:rRNA from 1 species
GAUGAACGCUAGCGGCAGGCUUAACACAUGCAAGUCGGGGGGCAGCACGUCUUCGGAUGGUGGCGACCGGCGCACGGGUGAGUAACGCGUAUGCAAUCUACCUUUUACAGGGGCAUAGCCCGGGGAAACCCGGAUUAAUAUCCUAUAGUACCAUUAUAUAGCACUAUAUUAUGGUUAAAGUUUCGGCGGUAAAAGAUGAGCAUGCGUCCUAUUAGCUUGAUGGUAAGGUAACGGCUUACCAUGGCUAUGAUAGGUAGGGGUCCUGAGAGGGAGACCCCCCACACUGGUACUGAGACACGGACCAGACUCCUACGGGAGGCAGCAGUGAGGAAUAUUGGACAAUGGGCGCAAGCCUGAUCCAGCCAUGCCGCGUGCAGGAAGACGGCCCUAUGGGUUGUAAACUGCUUUUAUACGGGAAGAAACACCCCUUCGUGAAGGGACUUGACGGUACCGUAUGAAUAAGGAUCGGCUAACUCCGUGCCAGCAGCCGCGGUAAAUACGGAGGAUCCG